rnacentral:misc_RNA from 1 species
GUUACACUUGUGAUGCCCAUUCAACGAGGAUACUUAAAGACAAAAUGAAGGGUCCUGUACCAUAGCUAACCAUUUCCAUAACUUCUUCCUUCCUAUGCUGCAGCCAAACAAGAUUACAAACCUUUCAUCUAGCUGGUAUAACCUAGUCAAACCCCAGUCCAGCCAUUUUUGUGAAAUUGGCUACUAAGACACUCAUCUCUCAUCAAUAACCUCAAUAGGACUGAAGCAUGCCAAUUAGCU